GGUUAUGGAUCAGUGGUAGAGCGCUUGCCUCGCAUGUGUGAGGCCCUGGGUUCAAUCCUCAGCACCA
rnacentral:tRNA from 1 species